UACGUAGGGUGCAAGCGUUGUCCGGAAUUAUUGGGCGUAAAGAGCGUGUAGGCGGCCCGAUUAGUCCGCUGUGAAAGUUCAGGGCUCAACCCUGGAAUGCCGGUGGAUACUGCCGUGGCUAGAGUCCGGUAGAGGAGCGUAGAAUUCCUGGUGUAGCGGUGAAAUGCGCAGAUAUCAGGAGUAAUACCAGCGGCGAAGGCGGCGCUCUGGGCCGGUACUGACGCUGAGGAGCGAAAGCGUGGGGAGCAAACAGG
rnacentral:rRNA from 1 species